CAGGUUACAGCUCUUGUAGAAUUUGUCUAUCAGGUUUUCCUGUCUUUACUGGAACUCCACA
ensembl:snRNA U7 U7 small nuclear RNA